rfam:Streptococcus suis 05ZYH33, complete genome.
UUAACUGUGCUAUAAUAGUUUUUGCAGAAAAGUAAAGACGGUGGCUCUAAUUUCUGAAAGGUAGGUGGUGUCUAUGGGCAAAUCAUCAAAAUCUAACAGAAAGGAGAAGCUAUCUUUGUCAACCUUUGAGGUCUUAACACUCAUGUUUGUAGCUGGUAACUUUGUUAUCGCUCUCGUGAUGUUAG